GUGGGGAAUAUUGCACAAUGGGCGCAAGCCUGAUGCAGCAACGCCGCGUGAGGGAUGACGGCCUUCGGGUUGUAAACCUCUUUUAGUAGGGAAGAAGCGAAAGUGACGGUACCUGCAGAAAAAGCACCGGCUAACUACGUGCCAGCAGCCGCGGUAAUACGUAGGGUGCAAGCGUUGUCCGGAAUUAUUGGGCGUAAAGAGCUCGUAGGCGGCUUGUCGCGUCUGCUGUGAAAUCCCGGGGCUCAACCCCGGGCCUGCAGUGGGUACGGGCAGGCUAGAGUGCGGUAGGGGAGAUUGGAAUUCCUGGUGUAGCGGUGGAAUGCGCAGAUAUCAGGAGGAACACCGAUGGCGAAGGCAGAUCUCUGGGCCGCUACUGACGCUGAGGAGCGAAAGCAUGGGGAGCGAACAGGAUUAGAUACCCUAGUAGUCC
rnacentral:rRNA from 1 species